GCCGUGCUCGGUAGUUGUGUUUGAAAAGUAAUGAUCACAUUGGUAGCAUAAUUCCAGAAGACAAUCGUUGAAUCUUCCGGACUCUUACUGUUGAAUGCGAAACUUGUCGCUACACGCAGAUACGUAUAGAUAGAACUCGAAGCAAGUUGUAAUAAUCAAUGUUGGAUCAUUUGGCGCCCACUGACGAUAAUUGUAUGUCGAAGGCGGAUUCUGCGGAAAUCUUCGAAAUUUUCGCGUUGUACGAAUGACAGUAUAAUACGAAAAUGAUGAAUUUCAUCGGACAAAUUUCGGAAUUUACAAAUGGCUAUUUAUGUUUCAAUGUAUGGUUACCAGCAUUUCCUAGUAGUUUGCUACAUGGGAUACAUUUCACACGCUGCGAUUCGAUUACAUGACAUAAGCAACACACUCACGUAAGUAUUAUAAAUGACACACGUUUAUAUUCACACCAACACAUCAUGAACUCACACGAUAAACUCACACAUACAAAGUGUUUCAUUAAUAAUGUAAACUUAUUUGAAAAGUGGUUUUA